UACGUAGGGGCCUAGCGUUGUCCGGAUUUAUUGGGCGUAAAGAGCUCGUAGGCGGUUCGGUAAGUCAGGUGUGAAAUCUCCACGCUCAACGUGGAGGCGCCACCUGAAACUGCCGUGACUAGAGUCCGGUAGGGGAGUGUGGAAUUCCUGGUGUAGCGGUGAAUGCGCAGAUAGUCAGGAAGAACACCCGUGCGAAGGCGGCUCUCUGGGACGGUACUGACGCUGAGACGCGAAAGCGUGGGAGCGACAGG
rnacentral:rRNA from 1 species